CCUACGGGAGGCAGCAGUGGGGAAUAUUGGACAAUGGGCGAAAGCCUGAUCCAGCCAUGCCGCGUGUGUGAAGAAGGUCUUCGGAUUGUAAAGCACUUUAAGUUGGGAGGAAGGGCAUUAACCUAAUACGUUAGUGUUUUGACGUUACCGACAGAAUAAGCACCGGCUAACUUCGUGCCAGCAGCCGCGGUAAU
rnacentral:rRNA from 2 species